GAAGCAGAAAUCUGAGCCGCUUGCUGCUGAGCCAUCUGCAUACGCUUGUAGCAGAUCUCCUGAGCUGAGACUCUCUUGUUUGGCCGCGCCACAGUCGGAGAGUCAGUCUGGGCUAUUCUGUGCUCACCCCUCCUGACUGACUUAAACUGCCUCAUGACAGCAUUGAAGGACAGAGAAAGAGCAGAUCCGCAAACACUCCUCCAUGGGAUCUGAGUCAAAGUCCAGAUCAUCCUGGAAACUAGAGAAGUCGAUUGCAACAUCGUUGACCUCGUCGUUACCUGCCACACCGCGGUCAC